rnacentral:rRNA from 1 species
UACAGAGGGUGCAAGCGUUAAUCGGAAUUACUGGGCGUAAAGCGUGCGUAGGUGGUUUGUUAAGUCUGUUGUGAAAGCCCCGGGCUCAACCUGGGAAUGGCAAUGGAUACUGGCAAGCUAGAGUGCGGUAGAGGGUAGUGGAAUUCCCGGUGUAGCGGUGAAAUGCGUAGAGAUCGGGAGGAACACCAGUGGCGAAGGCGGCUACCUGGACCAGCACUGACACUGAGGCACGAAAGCGUGGGAGCAAACAGG